GGAUUAGAUUUAGGAUUUUAGGUGUGAUUUAAGGUUUAGUUAGGCUUAGGAUUCGAUUUAGGUUAAGAUUUGUAUAAGAUUUGAUUAAGAUUUGAUUAAGAUUUAACUAGGAUUUGCUCAGGAUUUGUUUAGGAUUUGGUGAGGACUUACUUAGGAUUUGACUAAUAUUUAUUUAGAAUUUGAUUAAGACUUGAUUAAGACUUGAUUAGGAUUUGUUUAGGAUUUGAUUAGGAUUUAACUAGAAUUUGCCUAGGAUUUGUCUAGGAUUUGGUUAGGACUUAUUUAAGAUUUGAUUAAUAUUUGGUUAGGAUUUAUUUAGGAUUUGAUUAGAAUUUAUUUAGGAUUUGAUUAGGAUUUGAUUAGAAUUUGACUAGGCUUUGGCUAUGGUUUGCCUAAGAUUUGUUUAG
rnacentral:lncRNA from 1 species